AGCCCGGUCGUCUAGCGGCCAACCCCAGAAAAGGGCUAGGGAUACCGGCCUCUGGAGCCGGUGACGGCAGUUCGAAUCUGCCCCGGGCUACCA
rnacentral:tRNA from 1 species